AAAUUAACAAGGAUUACAGGAGGAAGAGCAAAAUUUCAGUUUAGUAGCUGGUCUUAUAUCAGUGCAGUUUCUUAGUUUUGUGAACAUGAGUUUCACAAAUUAUUAAACGGGUUCUGGUUAGUUGCAAUGACUUCCUUUACUAAAUAAUUGUGAUUUUAAGUUUCUACUUCAGUAUCAAGGCUUUAUUAGCCAUUCUUUAGUAAUUAUUAGAUUACUGUAAGCAUAAGACAUGCAAAUCUUGAGUCUGUACAGCAUAAGUUUCUUAGUUUGUGAUCAUUUAAAGAAGCAAAAUCAGAUUAACGAGGUAUUUCAAAUGGCAUGGUGGCCAAAAUGGAAGCACGUGAAAUUCUCUGUGUUUCAUUCCUUUCUCGUGUUUUUCAUUUGGUCCUAUUUUCUUUUCUUAAUGAAUGCUUCUAUAUAAACAGGACUGCUAGCUCUGAAUACCAAAAGUUGAAGAUCUUUUUUCUUCGAAUACACACUAGAUUGCUAGCUGUAAGUAGAGUAAAAUGUCUCUCAAUUCAAUGUUCUGGCAACAUCUGCUUCUACCAUUCCUGAGCUUACUUGCAGGUCAGUAGAUUUUAUGUUUAAUCAUGUUAUUAUGUUUGAAUUUGUCUACAUUUUAUAUCAAGUUUCUUUCUCUUUUCUAGCAGCCAGAUUCAUUUACUCUUCAUGCUUGGACUAAAAUACCCAAAAUAAGUACUCGUGCUCGAGUGUUGAAGCUGUAUAGACAAGCACUAAAGAUUACAUAAAGAGCACCAUGUGACAGUAAAGGUGAAGUUUUAUUAUUUAUAGUUAUGUGUUUUUGCUUGUAUCUAGAAAAGGUAAGUAAAAUAGGAAAGGAAUUUGCCUCACAUUUAAAGCACUAGCUUUAGCUAGUUACCUAACUUUUUUUAUAGCUUCAAGAACAUAGAUUUGGAAUUAUAAAUUUUAGUUAUUAACGAUUAUUGUUAAGUACCUGUUAUUUGUAGUUAGGAAAAUAUUACUCCCUCCGUCCAUUUUUAUCUGUC
rnacentral:lncRNA from 1 species